AUUGAACGCUGGCGGCAUGCCUUACGCAUGCAAGUCGAACGGCAGCACGGGGCAACCUGGUGGCGAGUGGCGAACGGGUGAGUAAUGCAUCGGAACGUACCUUUCAGUGGGGGAUAACGUAGCGAAAGUUACGCUAAUACCGCAUAUUCUGUGAGCAGGAAAGCAGGGGAUCGCAAGACCUUGCGCUGAUUGAGCGGCCGAUGUCAGAUUAGCUAGUUGGUGAGGUAAAGGCUCACCAAGGCGACGAUCUGUAGCGGGUCUGAGAGGAUGAUCCGCCACACUGGAACUGAGACACGGUCCAGACUCCUACGGGAGGCAGCAGUGGGGAAUUUUGGACAAUGGGGGCAACCCUGAUCCAGCCAUGCCGCGUGAGUGAAGAAGGCCUUCGGGUUGUAAAGCUCUUUCGGCCGGGAAGAAAUCGCACGGGCUAAUACCCUGUGUGGAUGACGGUACCGGAAUAAGGAGCACCGGCUAACUACGUGCCAGCCGCCGCCGUAAGAC
rnacentral:rRNA from 1 species